CACUGAUCCACCACUCCUGAACUUCCCUUUCUGCAGAUGGGGACCAGGGACUUGAACCUGGGUCCUUAAGUAUGGUAACGUGCACUCUAUCAGAGAGACAGAAAGAGGUGUGAAGGAGACCACAGCACUGAAGCUUCCUUUAGAGAGGUGGAGACCAGAUAGAGCAGUGCACUAUCCAAGUGAGAGUCAACCCCAACUUUGCCUAAAAAAGGAAGAGGCUCCACUGGCCUUGGAGCCUGCUGGCUGAGCCGGAGGAACAGUCGAGAACUGUGUCGCAGCCAUCCCCACCCCUUCCCGGGAAUCUUGGCAGUGUGUGGUGCUGGCUGCUUUCCACCGAGCAGGCCUCCCUGCUACCGGAAUCUGCCUGGUGCUUCUACCCCAGUCCCCCAAAUCCAGGGGCCCUGUCUCCAAGAUUGGCCAGGGCUAUGCAUAAGGGCACUGUGAGUGAAGGCCUCCAGCUGGGCAGCUGCUGGAUGAGACUGGGGCCCAGGGAGUGACAUAGAGGGGCUCCCCAGGGAGACAUACAGUAUUCCACACUGGCUGGGGUCUACCCAGGCAGUGGAGCCCCUUGUGCCUGCCUGUUGCCAGCUCCGGCCCGUGAGCAGACCCUACAGUCACACCUCAGCAGAGCUGCUGGGCUGACAGUCGAGUUUCCAUCCCUUUUGGAAAAAGUAAGCAGGUCUCCUUGGCUGUGACUCAGCCCUAGAGGAAGCAACCACUCUCCUUCCUGCAGACUUUCCAGCAGGAUGGAGGCUGGACAGACAUGGGCAGCCUGGAACACACCCCUGCCACCCUCAACUCAGCCAUCUGCCCUGGCCCAGCUCAUGCCCUAUGGCUGGAAGACCAGUCCAAACCCCAGCCACCCCACUCCAUCACCUCUGUCCCCAGCCCCUGUUCUGCUCUGUGGCUCACACCACCCAGCAGCCAAGAUCAUGGCAAAUGUCACUGCUAUCCCCACCCCCAGAAGCCAACCCCCACCCCUGCUGAGAGCAAGGAGGUCAGCCAAGAAUGAAGUGGUCAGUGACGGCACAGACCAGAAGCAGACACCAAAGGAAGCAGGCAUAAUGGCCUAAAAGCCUCUGUCUGAGAGCACAAUUGUGAGGGGUUACAUGGGGGCACAGGGGCAGUGGUCAGAGGUGGCCAGGACACAGAAGGCCCUGGCAUCCAGCCUAUCCCUCCCUGGGGGCCAGGCCUAUGGGACCUGACAGAUGGAGGCCCAGGGAAGAGGCCUAGGCCCAGGCUGGGGGUCCCUUCACCUCACGGAGUUGUGGAUAGGAUGAUGUGCUCAUCAUCAGUGGUCCCCUGGACAGGUGGAGGGGUUCCUACGCCCUCAGCUGCCCCAGCUCCACCCUGCCCCCACCCUCCCUCACAGGCUCCAGCUGUGCAAAAAAGGGCCUUUUGUUCACAGCUUGCUGUGCUCAUGUUGACUUCAGGGAAAAGGGCAGCUCUGGGGCCUCUGACCCCAUUCUGGGGAAACCUCUGGGAUGGGGGAGGAGUGCCAGCUGCUUUCCAUGAUGCUGGCAUCUCACCCACGCACCUGCGUACACUGGGGACCAGGAACAAAGUGGGAGACAGUCGCCCUUGUGAUGGGGUUCAGUGAGCCCUAACCCCCUGCAAUGGUAAGUGGGGCAGAGGGAGGGGCAGAGCAGGGCCCUAGCCCAGUUGCCACCCACUCCCACUCCACAUACACAUUCCUCUCCACUUACCUAUUUGUGGUCAGGGACAAGCCAGGGCCUGAGAGCUGUUCUGGGGGCUGCAGUUCCCACUGUCAUUCCCCAGCUGCCCAGGCAUAUCUCCCUGCCCUCCCCCCAUCCCUGAGCUUCUUCUUACCCAGACUGUCGGCUAGCAACAGUCAAAAUAGUCAGGGCAUGGUGGGGUAGCGGCCUUGGGAUGGUUGGUGGUGCUUCCCCACCUCCCUAUGUGUGUGCACCCCCUCUUUGUGCUGGCUUAUGCCCUGAGUACCUAUGGGCACCAGGCAGAACCCUGUCAUCUCAGGGCUGCCAGGCUAGACAGGGCCAGGGAGUAGGGGGCUCUUCCUAUGUCAGACCAGGUGAGGAGGAGUUACAGGAAGCCCUGCCUGGAGCCUGGACUUGGGGUGGGGCACCCAGGAAGCAGGCCUGGGUGAGGGCAGGCCCUGUGAUUCUUUCUGGCUUGGUAUCAGGCACAGUGCGCAUGUGUGUGUGGGGGCAUGAUAAGGCAGUCUAGGGGGACAAGCUGGAGAGGGUGAAGAGGGCCCAUAGAUACUGAAAGAUAGCAUGGGGGGGGGGGCACUGAAGAAGGUAGAGUCUAGUGUACUUUUUCCAUUUCCUUUUCCUUUCUUUUUUGAUAGAGACAGACAGAACAUGAGAGGGAUGGAGGAGAUAUAGAAAGAGAUACAGAAACACCUGCAGGCCUGCUUCACCACUCAUAAAGCUUUCCCCCUGCGGGUGGGGACUGGGGGCUUGAACCUGCAUCCUUGUGCACUGUAAUGUGUGUGCUCUACUGGGUGCACCACCACCCAGUCCCUGCUUUUUUUUUUAUCUUUACUUAUUUAUUGGGUAGAGAUAGCCAGAUAUUGAGAGGGAAAGGGGUGAUAGAAAGGGAGAAAUACAGACACCUGCAGUGCUGCUUCACCACUCACAAUGGUCGAACCCAGGUUCUUGCAUAUUGUAACAUGUUCAACCAGUUGCACCACCACCAAGCCCCCUGUUUUUUGUUUGUUUUUAAUAUUUAGUUAUUGGGGGCCAGGCGGUGGUACAGCACUUAAGUGCACAUAGUAUGAAGCACAAGGGCUCACACAGGAUCCCGGUUCAAUCCCCCAGCUCCCCCCCCCCACAAACUGCAGGGGAAACUUUACAAUCUAUGAAGCAGGUCUGCAAGUGGCUGUCUUUCUCCCUCUCUAUCUCCUCCUCUCUUAAUUUUUCUCUGUCCUGUCCAAUAACAAAAAAAAUGACUUCCAGGAACAGUAGAUUCGUAGUGCCAGCAUCGAGCCCCGGCUAAUAACCCUGUAGGCAAAUAAAAUAAAAUAAAAAUAUUUAUUGUUUAUGAGAAAGGAGAGAGUGGUCUGGGAGGUGAUGCAGUGGAUAAUGCACUGGAUUCUCAACCAUGAGGACCUGAGUUCAAUCCCCGAUAGCACAGGUACCAGAGUGAUGUCUGGUUCUUUCUCUGUCUCUCUCUCUCCUCCUCUUCCUUGAAUAAAUAAAUUCUUAAAAAGGGGUGGGGUAGGGGGUUGUCAGGCGGUAGUGCAGUGGGUUAAGCGCACAUGGCACAAAGCACAAGGACCAGCAUAAUGAUCCCGGUUCGGGCCACCAGCUUCCCACCUGUUGGGGGGUCGCUUCAUGAGUGGUGAAGCAGGUCUGCAGGUGUCUUAUCUUCCUCUCCUCUGUCUUCCACAGAGAGGAAGACAGAGAGGAGAGAAAGAUAGACACUCUCUCCAUUUCUCUCUGUCCUAACAACAGCUAUGACAACAAUAACAACAAGUGCAACAACAAGGGCAACAAAGUGGGAAAAAUGGCCUCCAGGAGCAAUGGAUUCAUAGU